CUACGGGCCGCAGCAGUGGGGAAUAUUGGACAAUGGGGGAAACCCUGAUCCAGCAAUGCCGCGUGUGUGAAGAAGGCCUGCGGGUUGUAAAGCACUUUCGGUUGGGAGGACUGCUUCUAGCACUAAUAUUGUUGGAAGUUGACGUUACCUUCAGAAGAAGCACCGGCUACUCCGUGCCAGCAGCCGCGGUAAUACGGAGGGUGCAAGCGUUAAUCGGAAUUACUGGGCGUAAAGCGCGCGUAGGCGGUUAGAUCAGUCGGGUGUGAAAGCCCCGGGCUUAACCUGGGAACUGCAUCCGAUACUGUCUAGCUUGAGUACAGGAGAGGAGAGUGGAAUUCCACAUGUAGCGGUGAAAUGCGUAGAUAUGUGGAGGAACACCAAUGGCGAAGGCAGCUCUCUGGCCUGAUACUGACGCUGAGGUGCGAAAGCGUGGGGAGUAAACAGGAUUAGAUACCCCCGUAGUC
rnacentral:rRNA from 1 species